UUUCUGGCACCUUUGUAAAAAAUCAGCUGGCUAUAACUUUGAAGUCAGGUAUUUUGAGGUUUUCUGCCUUGGUCUUUUUACUCAGGAUUGUUUUGGCUAUCAUCUAAUGUUUUUUGUGGUUCCAUAUGAACUUCAUGAUUGUUUGUUUUAUUUCUGUGGAAAAUGUCACUGGAAUUUUGAUUGAGAUUCAAAUCUAACAAUAUUGAGAUUUCUUCUCACUUCAGUCAUGAUCAUGAACACAAACAAUAACAAAUGCUGGUUAGGAUAUCAGGCAAGGGUUAAAGAACUCUCAUAUACUGUUGAUGGGAAAACAAAUUAGUAUAACCACUAUGGAAAACAGUAUGGAGGUUACUCAAAAACUAAAAAUAGAACUACAGUAUGGUCCAACAAUAUUGCUCUUGGAAAUUCAGGAUAUAAUAGAGAAACUUGCACCCAUGUUUAUUGUAGCCAAACUUCAGAAGAAGCCUACAUGUCCUACAACUGGUGGAUGAUCAAGAAAAUGUGGCAUAUAGACACAGUGAAGUAUUGUAUACUCAUAAAGAGGAAUUCAAUCAUGUCAUUUGCAGGAAAAUGAUGGAACUGGAGAUUUACAUGUAAAACAAAGAAAACCAGAUUUAGGACAAAGGUUGCUGAGGAAUCUAGUUCUAAAAGACAAACACACAUGUGAUUAUAUGCAUGAUUAUAACUAAGGGACUGUUUGGAGGAUGUGGAAGAGGAGGAAUAAGAAAGAAUGAUGGAAGGUGAAUAAUAUCAAAAUACAUCGUUUAUGCAUCAAGAUGGCAUAAGGAAUUUGCUGAAAACUUGAAUAAUAGAGGGGUAAGGCAGAUAUGAAGAGAGAGCAAGCAGUACAAUGGGUUAAUCUGCCUAGAGCAUCAUAUAUGUAUGUGUGAAAUACCAUGGUGAAACCUGUUUUUACAAUUAAUGUACACUAAAUAAAAUGAAUGACAAGAAUGUAACAGGUUCUUUUGGACAUUGGAUGCCUGUGAGAAAAGAGAAUGAAGAUAGAGGGUGAAUGAAGGUGAAUAUUGGAAGUAUUUUAUACACAUGUAUUAAAAUGGAACAGUACAACAUGUUGAAAUUAUUGUCUGAAGGGGUGAUAUGGUACAGUGGGAGUAAAUUUGACCAGGGGGCAUUAUAUAUGCCUGCAUAGAAAUCAUAAUGAAAUAACCUGUAUAAUCAAUACAUGUUAACAGAAAAA